rnacentral:tRNA from 1 species
GUCGUAGCUCAGUUGGUAGAGCCCCGGAUUGUGAUUCCGGUUGUCGCGGGUUCAAAUCCCGUCG